GUGUCAGCAGCCGCGGUAAUACGAAGGGGGCUAGCGUUGUUCGGAAUUACUGGGCGUAAAGCGCGCGUAGGCGGACUGGUCAGUCAGGGGUGAAAUCCCGGGGCUUAACCUCGGAACUGCCUUUGAUACUGCCAGUCUCGAGUCCGGAAGAGGUGAGUGGAAUUCCUAGUGUAGAGGUGAAAUUCGUAGAUAUUAGGAAGAACACCGGUGGCGAAGGCGGCUCACUGGUCCGGUACUGACGCUGAGGCGCGAAAGCGUGGGGAGCAAACAGGAUUAGAUACCCUGGUAGUCCACGCCGUAAACGAUGGAUGCUAGCCGUUGGACAGCAUGCUGUUCAGUGGCGCAGCUAACGCAUUAAGCUCUCCGCCUGGGGAGUACGGUCUCAAGAUUAAAACUCAAAUGAAUUGGCGGGG
rnacentral:rRNA from 1 species